rnacentral:lncRNA from 1 species
GAAUGAUGACAGAGAGCUGGCCUUGCAAAGAUCCACAGGAAAAGAGUUCCUGGCAGAGGGAACAGCAAGGGCAGAAGGCUCAGGAAACCGUCCAUUUGGAGGUCUGGAAACCGGCACAGAAAUAAACACGGUAGAGCUAGACCAGAGACCAACAAAGUGAAUCUGGAGCUUAGAUGGAGAGAGAAGAGAGAGAUUAAUUGAGGCCCCAGGUACUGCGGAAUGCUUCCCCAGGAGUGGAUGAGGCCGUCUGAAAGGAGACCUCCGAAGUGUUUCUUGAGGAAAUGUGGCUGCAGACCCUAGAAGAAGCUACACAGCACUUGCCAGGGCUGGGAUGAUGUCCAGGCCAUGGAAACACCGUGUACCUGGUCCCAGGAAGAUGAAGUGUGGGCCCAGAGACUAAUGGCUUGAGCAUCUCAGGCUAAGGUUGCCGAGAAGUAGACAGCACCUCUAGAUCCUAGUCAACAUCUCUACAGGCUUGAAGUCUCCCCAGAGGGCAAGGUUGGAAUAAAUCUGAAGCCUGUGGCUUGCCUGGGAGCUGCCC